GGUUUGAUAGUUCAGUUGGUGAAAAGUCUGCUUAACAAUAACGCGCAGAAGGUCAUCUGUUCAAGUCCAGCCCAGAUCA